GGCCGCAUGGCGCAGUGGUUAAGCGCCUAGCAAACAUUAAUGUGGAAUAUUAAUGUAAUGGGUUCGAAUCCCAUUGUGGUUU
rnacentral:tRNA from 1 species